rnacentral:misc_RNA from 1 species
GAUGAAGAACGUAGCGAAAUGCGAUAAGUAAUGUGAAUUGCAGAAUUCAGUGAAUCAUCGAAUCUUUGAACGCACCUUGCGCUCCUUGGUAUUCCGAGGAGCAUGCCUGUUUGAGUGUCAUUAAAUUCUCAACCUUUAUCUUUUAUUGAUAAAUGGCUUGGACUUGGGGGUUUGCUGGCGAAAGUCAGCUCCUCUGAAGUGUAUUAGCUGGUUGCCUUGUGUGAACUUGUCUAUUGGUGUGAUAAUUAUCUACGCCGUGGGCUGUUUGCCGUUUUAGCACUGCUUCUAACUGUCUGUUAACUCGGACAAUAUAUGACAAUUUGACCUCAAAUCAGGUAGGACUACCCGCUGAACUUAAGCAUAUCAAUAAGCGGAGGA